rnacentral:lncRNA from 1 species
UUGUUCCAUUUUAGGUAUUUAAAUAAUAGACUCAGGAAGCCUUCACUAACCUCUGAGGCUGCAUCAGAUCUUCCUGCGAACCAUUUGUACAGAAGUGUGGCUUUCAUUUAUAACAAUCAUGUAGCACAUGAUCACAUGUUUAUUUAUUUGGUUGAUUUCUGUUUCCCCAACACAGGAGACUGAAGUCUGUAUCUGAUAUGGUUCAUUGUUCCACAGUCUGAAUGAAGCACAGUGCUGUGUCAAUACUUAGAAAAAUCAUCCUGUUAUGGAUGGGGAUAAGGAUAUGUUUUACUUCCAUCAACAUCAAAGCUGCAGAACUAUUCAAGUCUUUGAAUGAUUACCUAACAGGAAAACUGAAUUGGUUGUUUCGGCUCAGUAUACACAUGGAUGGAGCAGCUGCCAUGCCUGGAUGCCUUUCUGGUUUCACUACUUGCGCCAAACAGGGGAGAUUGACAACUGUGUUCAAGUCUGCAGAUAACGUGGAUGCAUUCAAAGCCAAACUGAAAUUGUGGAUGUGCUCUGUGGAAAGAAUCCUCUACAUCUAUCAAGUCUCAGCUACACUGUUUCUUUCUCAAUGGAGCUCCCAAAAUACGUCUGCAGGACUCUGUUGCCUUAGGAGUUAAUCUCACCUUUGUCUUUCUGUAAUUCCUCCCAUGUAGAGUUUGAAUAUGGCCAUAGUUUCAGCUCUAGCAAUGCUUUAUAAAAUCACUCAGCAUUCUUUUAAAUGCAGAGUUAAAGUUAUAGAAAAGAAAUGGUAAUUGAUAUGUGCUAGAAAUUAAAAUGUUUCUGGAAUCCAAUAAGGAUGGGAUCUAAUCCUUCAGGGGUCUCUGUGAGUGGGAGGAGAUUGCACAUCUCAACAAACUGAGGGUGUUUUAACUAGGGUGAGUUUUAACACCUGUGUGCAGAAGGCAAGUGAGGUAUCCCUUGCAGGAGGCAGCAGUGAGAACUAAAAUCCCUGUACAAAGCAGUGCAGGUGCAAGGUAGAUGAAGGAGUGGCCCAGACAAAAUGUGCCUCUGACACAGACACAUGCAGACAGCAAGACAACUGACUGCUGCUUCAUGGACCGUUUGUAGAAAAAAUGAGUUGUCACACUGUGAUAACUCAUGCCCAUGGUUCCGUCACCACAGGUAUUCUGGUUUAGAUCUGAAAUGUCCCCCCAAAAUGUUUCAUGUGUGUGAAAGGUGAUGGAGUACUAAUCAGCCAUAAAGAAUGAGAAACUAGAGACAUAUAUAGCUAAAUGGAUGCAUAUUGAGGCCAAACUCUUAAGUGAAAUAAAUACAGUACACAUGUGUAAAUACCGAAUAGUUUCUCUGGUGUGAGAAACUGAAAGUGUCAAUAAGGAUUAAAAUUAUUAAAACGAAUAAUUGAUAAUUUGAAAUAGGAAGAAAAGGUCCAAAGGGGUAGGGACAGAUGAAUGGAUAAAAAAAAAAUUUAAACACUGUGGAAUACUACUCUGCCACAAAGAAGAUACAUUUGAAUCAUUUGUAGCAAAAUGGAUGUAUCUUGAGGCCACAAUGUUAAGUGGCAAAAAUUAAACACAUUAGCUGAAAUACUGCACAGUUUGUCUUACAUGAGAAGCCCAAAAUAUAAAUGAAGAGCAAAAUAAAAUAUAGUAAUAGGAAGUAGAUGGGUAGAUUUUGUUCAAAUAGGAAGGGGGAAAGAGAUGGAGGGAGUUGGGAGGGAAAGGAGGGCAAGGGGAAAGGUAAGAAGGGAAAGGAAAAAUUAUGAGAAAAGGAAAAAAUGGAAAUAAAGUGUUUGUAAAUAGGGAAGGAUGGAGGGGGUGAAGGGAGGACAGGGAAUGGGGGAAAAAAUAACCAAGAUACAUCUUGUACAGGUACAAGCACCCAAUGAUAAAUGUAAACAUAUUGUAUACCUAAAAUGUACCAAUAAAAUAAUUUAAGAAAAAAAAAAAUUUCAAAAACAAAAAGCCAAACACUCAAAAAAACCCCCCAAAACGGUGACUGGAUCAUGGGCUGCUAUACUCACCAGUGUAUUCAUACUGUUGAUGAAUUCAUGGCUGAAUGUGCUGUUAGGAGGUGGGGUCAGGUUGGAGGUGGGUCAUGGGAGGUGUGACCUGGAGGGAUGUAUUCUUGUCCACUGCUCCUCCAUUUUCUCUCUGCUUCCUGGUUGUCAUGGAAUGAGCAGCUGUUCUCUGCCAGGCGCUUCUACUAUAAUGUCCCUUCAGCCUAGGAAAUGGCCAACAAUUGAGUAAAUCCUGUAAAAAUCAUGAGACAAAAAUAAACUUCUCCUCCUUUAAGCUUUGGGUGCUUGGCAUUGUGCUCUAGUGAUGGGUAAGUGACUAACACAAUAAAUUUGAGGCUCUAAUUUUUACUGUUGGUUGAUUGAGGGACCCUUAAGGGAAGAAGGAUCUUAAAUCUUUAUGUGAAAGGAAUCAUUAACAACUAAUUUGAAAGAUUUAAUGAUUAAGAAAACAAUUCUACAGAACUAUAAUUCAACAAAAUAAUUUAUAAAGAAAUAGAAAAUUCCUAUAAAAAGAGGUGAAGCAGUUAAUAGAAGUUUAGCCAGUUGCCUUAAAUGCUAAUGAGAAAUAGAUUCAUACCAUUUACUGACAUCAUCUUCAAAACCUGUGUAUGAGGUAUAGGUAAUCCUUAUGCAAAUAUUUUCAUAGAAUUAGAAAAGAAGGAAAAAUCUCAAUUAAUUUUAUAAGAUUAUUAUAACUUUGAUUCCAAAACCAGGCAAAGGCAAUGUGAAAAAGAAAAACUACAUGUAACUAAUGGUCAAGGAGGCAAAAAUUCUAAUUGAACUCAGCAAAGUGAACCUAGGCAAGAAGGAAGGAGAGAGGGAGAGAGAGAGAGAGAGAGAGAGAGAGAGAGAGAGAGAGAGAGAGAGAGAGAGAGAGAGAACACAGAGAUGGGAAGGGAGAAAACAUCUUUCAAAACAGCCACAUCAUAGUAUGUAGACUUCUUCCAAGAAUGUAGGGGUAGUCUUAUUUGAAAAAAAUGUAACUGAAAAUCUUUUAAAACAAAUAGAAGGGCUGGGGAUUUAGCUCAGUGGUUCUGCUGCCUGCCUUGCAAGCACAAGGACCUAAGUUUGAUCCCUGGUACCAAACAAAACAAAACAAAACAAAACAAACAAAUAGAAGGAAAUGUUUCUUAAAUAAAAAUGGCAUCAACUAAAUACUGGCAAUAUUCAUUGGAUUUAAUGUAGAAGUUUAACAUAAAAGAGAGAAAAAGUCAUAAAAUUUAA